rnacentral:rRNA from 1 species
AUUGAACGCUGGCGGCAUGCUUUACACAUGCAAGUCGAACGGCAGCGCGGGCUUCGGCCUGGCGGCGAGUGGCGAACGGGUGAGUAAUACAUCGGAACGUGCCCAGUAGUGGGGGAUAGCUCGGCGAAAGCCGGAUUAAUACCGCAUACGACCGAGGGGGGAAGCGGGGGAAUCUUGGGCCCUCCGGCUUUGGAGCGGGCGAUGGCAGAUUAGCUAGUUGGUGGGGUAAAGGCCUACCAAGGCGACGAUCUGUAGCUGGUCUGAGAGGACGACCAGCCACACUGGGACUGAGACACGGCCCAGACUCCUACGGGAGGCAGCAGUGGGGAAUUUUGGACAAUGGGCGAAAGCCUGAUCCAGCAAUGCCGCGUGUGUGAUGAAGGCCUUCGGGUUGUAAAGCACUUUUGGCGGGAACGAAAAGGACUGUGCCAAUACCACGGUUCGAUGACGGUACCCGCAGAAUAAGCACCGGCUAACUACGUG